rnacentral:rRNA from 1 species
UACGUAGGGACCAAGCGUUGUUCGGAUUUACUGGGCGUAAAGAGCGCGCAGGCGGUCGUUUCAAGUCGAGUGUGAAAGCCCCCGGCUCAACUGGGGAGGGUCACUCGAUACUGAUCGACUUGAAGGCAGGAGAGGGAAGCGGAAUUCCCGGUGUAGUGGUGAAAUGCGUAGAUAUCGGGAGGAACACCAGUGGCGAAGGCGGCUUCCUGGCCUGUUCUUGACGCUGAGGC